GUAAAAGUUUUUGUAGUUAUUACGUCAUAGGCGGACAUGUCGAAUAUAAACAGUUUUGUCCAAUAUUCUACGCGAUCUUAUCCGGUUUGCUCAGUAAUAAUAUAGAAGAAGAUGUGUUAGCAUUUUGCAAAAUGUUAACGUCCUGCACCUAAAUAAUUAUUCCAAGUCAAUUUUUAUCUUCAAUUUUCAAAAGAUGAUGUCUAAAGUGGGGCAAAAUGAGUAAUAAUUGAUUUAAAUAAUUUCUUCUAAACUGCAUCAUGCAUAAAUUUAUCAAGAGGAAAGCCACUCCAGCAAAUUGUGAAAAAGCUACAGAGAAUGUUUUAAAUAAAGUUUUUAGAUUUA